AGUGAACGCUGGCGGUAGGCCUAACACAUGCAAGUCGAACGGCAGCACAGUAAGAGCUUGCUCUUACGGGUGGCGAGUGGCGGACGGGUGAGGAAUACAUCGGAAUCUACUUUUUCGUGGGGGAUAACGUAGGGAAACUUACGCUAAUACCGCAUACGACCUACGGUUGAAAGCAGGGGAUCUUCGGACCUUGCGCGAUUGAAUGAGCCGAUGUCGGAUUAGCUAGUUGGCGGGGUAAAGGCCCACCAAGGCGACGAUCCGUAGCUGGUCUGAGAGGAUGAUCAGCCACACUGGAACUGAGACACGGUCCAGACUCCUACGGGAGGCAGCAGUGGGGAAUAUUGGACAAAGGGCGCAAGCCUGAUCCAGCCAUACCGCGUGGGUAAAGAAGGCCUUCGGGUUGUAAAGCCCUUUUGUUGGGAAAGAAAAGCAGCAGGUUAAUACCCCGCUGUUCUGACGGUACCCAAAGAAUAAGCACCGGCUAACUUCGUG
rnacentral:rRNA from 1 species